GGUAUGUGAACUUUGACCCCUGUUUUCUGCAGGAGGGCAGCGCAUGUUAUGUAUCAUGACACUAUAACAAUUUAUACAUAUAUAUGAAUAUAUUCGUGUUACAAAGUAUUUUGCAUUUGAUCAUUAUUGUGUGAGAAAUUUGUUUUUAACUCAUUUUAUGAUGUAAAGAAUGAAGUUGUUUUAACCAUCGUAAAAAUAGAAUUUAUAAACGAAAGAAAAAUUAUUUUACUUCUCAUCUUUUGGAAAAAAUUAUACUUGUCAAGAGUUUUAGAAAAUGAAGUGCGUGAAAGAGAUGGGAAAUAAAAUCCUAUACAUGUACAGUAGGUAUCUUGAUGUCUAAUUUAUUAUGUACCUGUACAUUGUGUGUACUGUAUGUAAAUAAAAGUCUCGCACUCUU
rnacentral:misc_RNA from 1 species